UGUAAUUGCCGGUAGCACUGAU
rnacentral:misc_RNA from 1 species